AUCUAAUAAAAAAUUUUAGUUAUAUCUUAUGUAAUUGAUCCAAAAAAAAUUUAGUUAUGCAUGUAUGUAUUUCAAACCUGGCUCUGAUACCAAUUGAAGGGAAGGGAAACUAUUUCUCUUCAGAUGACUCAGGUUGCAUCUAAAAUUUUUUUUAUUAUUCUAUAUAAAUAAGGAUCAACUUCUUACCUGAUUAGUAGUAAAACCAAAGAUCAAAUCUCAAAUGAUUUGAAUUAAACCUUCACGGAGGUCAGGAUGUGCAGACCCUCUACUUCGCAUGCAUGCCAGACAC
rnacentral:lncRNA from 1 species